GCAGGAAAGAUGCUGCUGUUUAGAGAGAGUUGAAUCCCAGACAAGCCUUCUGGAAAGCUCUCAACUUCCUGGGAGUUGGCCUGGGGAGAGGAGAUCUGACAACCCUCUCUGUGAGGAGUUCAGUAAUGCUGCAGCAUCAGAGGUGUCAUUACCAUUUUUUGGGCCAUUGCUUCAUAAGCAAAGACAGAUCGAAGCAUAUGAAUCCCCACUGCACCUAAAUGCAGAUAAACGUGACAAACGGUAAUGGCUCCGGAGGCAUCAACGGGAGCGCUUCCAGCAGCAGAUUCAAGGGCACAGGAACAGCCUUGCGGCCAGGGUGAAUCUUCAGGAGUAGCGUUUGCGGUCAUGGCGACCUCGGCAGGCACUGGGGAGAGAGGCCCGGAAUUCAGCACCUGGUGUUGGAGGAUGAGGUCUCACCAGGGUGUGCUGCUCCAAGCUCACUGAGGCCCUCCUGAUCAAGCUGAAAGAGGAUGGGAAGCAGGAGCCUCAAGGCUUAGGCCAGAGGAGCCAGAUGAGAGCUAAGGACCUACACAGGCCAAGGGAGUGACAUGACAGGAGCGUGAGUCGGAUGAGCUGGGGUCUGGAGGGAGCAGACACUGGCAGCAGGUCACAGAAACUGAACCCACCCGACAAAAUGGCC
rnacentral:lncRNA from 13 species